CACCCGUUUCCGUGAGAAAGCCACGAGCUCAAGCAGCUGCGCAGUGUUCUGCUGUUAGAAUACUCAGAAGUGAGAAUGAGUCAAAGAGCCAGAAGCCAACCAGAAAAAUGAGAGCCAUGAGUGUCCAGACUUCUGUGCCAACACUUCCAGAAGGGCCUUGGUACUACUUGAAGGACUUCUCCAAGGACAGAAGAUUCUAUCUCAUAAAAAGCUGGAUGCCCCCGAAGG